CGCGGCUCGCUCCCUCCCUCCCUCCUCCCCCCGCCCGGCGCCGUGCGCGCCUGUGCAGCCGCCCUGCCUGCGCCCGCUCCCCGGGAGCCGAGCCGCCGCUUUGCACCGGGCGAGCCGCGCGGGCGACCCCCAGCCGGACCCGCGGGCGCCGGCCGCCGCCUGCCUGCCGGAGGAUGCGUAUGCGGAGCGAUGGCACCGGGCGGAGCAGGGACCGGCCAGCCCGCCGCCAGCCUGUGAAGCCAGCCCGGAGCCGCCGCAGCUGCACCUGCCGGGGGAAGUGCUCCGGCCCCGUCUUUCCCGGCUAGCGGCGCCAGGCUCUGAAACCUGAUCUACAAUGGAAAAACUGCUUUUGUAUCUGCUGUUCAUUGGCGUAGCAGUGAGAGCCCAGAUCUGCCCCAAGCGCUGUGUCUGUCAGAUUUUGUCUCCAAACCUUGCAACCCUUUGUGCCAAGAAAGGGCUUUUAUUUGUUCCCCCAAACAUUGACAGAAGGACUGUGGAACUGCGACUGGCAGACAAUUUUGUUACAAAUAUCAAAAGGAAAGAUUUUGCCAACAUGACCAGCCUCGUGGACCUGACGCUAUCCAGGAAUACAAUAAGUUUUAUUACACCUCAUGCAUUUUCUGAUUUGCGCAAUUUGCGAGCUUUGCAUUUGAACAGCAACAGGUUGACAAAGAUCACCAAUGACAUGUUCAGUGGGCUUUCCAACCUGCACCAUUUGAUACUUAACAACAAUCAGCUGACUUUAAUUUCUUCCACAGCGUUUGAUGAUGUUUUAGCUCUUGAGGAACUGGAUUUGUCCUAUAACAAUCUAGAAACUAUCCCUUGGGAUGCUGUGGAGAAGAUGGUUAGCUUGCACACACUCAGUUUAGACCACAAUAUGAUUGAUCACAUUCCUAAGGGGACUUUCUCCCACCUCCACAAGAUGACCAGGUUAGAUGUCACAUCAAAUAAAUUGCAGAAGCUGCCACCUGAUCCUCUCUUUCAACGAGCUCAGGUAUUAGCAACCUCAGGAAUCAUCAGCCCCUCUACUUUUGCAUUAAGCUUCGGUGGAAACCCUUUGCAUUGCAACUGUGAACUCCUGUGGCUGAGGCGUCUUUCCAGAGAGGAUGACCUAGAGACUUGCGCUUCUCCUCCACUGUUAUCUGGUCGGUAUUUUUGGUCAAUCCCAGAGGAAGAGUUCCUGUGUGAACCCCCUCUCAUUACUAGACAUACCCAUGAGCUCAGAGUGCUGGAGGGUCAACGGGCAACUCUGAGAUGUAAGGCCCGGGGCGAUCCAGAGCCAGCCAUUCACUGGAUUUCACCAGAAGGCAAACUUAUUUCAAAUGCAACAAGGUCGCUGGUGUACGACAAUGGAACGCUAGACAUACUUAUAACAACUGUGAAGGAUACAGGCUCCUUCACCUGCAUAGCAUCGAACCCUGCAGGAGAAGCCACUCAAAUGGUGGAUCUUCACAUAAUCAAACUUCCUCAUUUGCUAAACAGUACAAACCACAUUCACGAGCCUGACCCUGGCUCCUCGGACAUCUCAACCUCCACCAAGUCAGGGUCCAAUGCAAGCAGUAAUAAUGGGGAGACUAAAGUCAGCCAGGAUAAGAAAGUUGUAGUAGCAGAAGCAACGUCAUCCACUGUGCUACUCAAAUUUAAUUUUCAAAGAAAUAUACCUGGAAUACGUAUGUUUCAAAUCCAGUACAAUGGUACUUAUGAUGAUUCACUUGUUUACAGAAUGAUACCUCCCACGAGCAAAACCUUCCUGGUCAACAACCUGGCCGCUGGGACUGUCUACGACUUGUGUGUCUUGGCAAUCUAUGACGACGGCAUCACCUCCCUCACGGCCACCAGGGUUGUCGGGUGCAUACAGUUUACUACCGAGCAGGAUUAUGUCCGUUGCCAUUUCAUGCAAUCCCAGUUCCUGGGCGGCACCAUGAUUAUCAUCAUUGGUGGGAUUAUCGUGGCCUCCGUGCUUGUCUUCAUCAUCAUCCUCAUGAUCCGUUACAAGGUGUGUAACAACAGUGGGCAGCACAAGGCGACCAAGGUCAGCAAUGUUUAUUCUCAGACCAACGGGGCUCAGAUACAAGGCUGCAGUGGUGCGAUGCCCCCAUCGGUGUCCAAACAGGCCGUCGGGCAUGAGGAGAGCGUCCAGUGCUCCAGAGUCUCCAAGGACAGUGUGACUCAGUCCUCAGACACUUGCUCGAGCCAGGACCCCACUACCACUACCUCUGCCCUGCCUCACACGUGGACUUCCAGCGCUUCUGCCUCCCAAAAGCAGAAGAGAAAGCCUGGGCCAAAGCCAAGCAACGAGCCACCGAGCGAAGCUCUCACAAAUAUCGAGUCCCAGAACACUAACCGAAAUAACUCCACUGCGCUGCAGCUAGCUAGUCGUCCCCCGGCCUCUGCCAAAGGGCCCCCCACCUACAAAAGAGCACAAUCAAAGCCAAGUAAGUUUCUCACUUUGCCAGCUGAAACAUCCAGAGCAAAGCGCAGGUACUCCCUGAAUGGAGAAUUAAUGGAAUACCAUUGUUAUGGUAACUCCCAGAACACAGGUGGAUUAUGGUCUAAAAGGAGCAUGUCUAUGAAUGGGAUGCUAAUUCAGUCAGACAAUUCUGAUGUGGAUAGUGGAAAAGCAACUUUCUCAAGUUCUGAGUGGAUAUUGGAAAGCACUGUGUGACCUGCUUUUUAAAGUGUAUUUUAUUUUAUUGCCAUGAAAAACAAAACCGCAAACAUUGUCUGAGACCUCCCUGCUGGGAGAUGGGGAUUUGGAAUCCCACUCCUGUCUCGCUGAGUUCUGGCUUGUCCAUGCAGGGUUGUGUGUGAGCUGCCCAGGGCACACAGGGUUUGUUAUGUUUAUUUUAUUUUAUUUAAUAUAACAACCGAAGGCAACAUUCAAAGAUAAAAUGAUUAAAGGAAAAAAGCAUGAAACAGCACCAGUGCCUUCCCCUACUCUAGGACUGGCUUCCUGGUUCUGCAGUAGCAGAAAACAAAAGAGUUUCACAGAAAAAGCCUUUUCUAAAGGAAAUGCUCUUUCCUCCAAGCUAACAAAAGACAACUUAUGGAUCAAUCAGUAAAAUGAUAUUUUUUAAAAUGAUCAGACUGUAUGUUUCUUUUCAGUGACCAUGGUGUUGCCUUUGUUUUUAGGCAAAUGCUGUACAGAAACAACAACUCUGUGUUGUUAUGUUGUGUAAAAUAAAAUACUCAAUAAGUAUACCCAGCCAGUGUUAAAGGAAGUCCCCUUUGAAGCAGCAUUCUUGGUGUAGGUGCCUUAGGGGUUCCCUGGUAUUGAUGUUACCCAGCUGGUGCAGGGAGGGGAGGGGAAAGGCGAUGCCCUCAGCAGUCUGGUGCGAGUAACGGCUCUGUCUGAGUGUGCGGGAAUGAAGACCCAGGGCCAGAGCCUCAGCUGGUGGAGAUGGGUGUUGCUCCACCCCAGCCAGUGACAAUGUCUGUACACCCACAGAGGACCUGGCUCAGAGCCCUAAUCCCAAAUGCCGGUAUGUCUGCAUUCAGGGCUUUGAUGUGUGUUGGGGGUGGGGGCAGCAAAGGGUCUGAGCAUGACAGGUUUGUUAGUUUCAAAAUAAAUGGAGAAAAACAAUAAUGCAGGGCCCACAGCUGCCGUCCCUAAUCAGUAAAGACACGUGGUGAUUGCAGUGGGGGGUUAUGGGUGCAAGCGCAGGAGUGUCGGGCUCAGAAAUCUGCAGCCAGCCUCGCUAGCAGGAAACUUGCCCAGUCUUCAUCCCCACUUUAGCAAGGACCUGUCAGGAUGGCGGCCUGGACACAGUACCCCAGCCAAACACUGUAGAGCCAGGCAACACCAGCGCUUAGUUUAGCCAUCUGAAACGAGCGGCCUGGGUCCUGGGUGCUGGAACCCUUCCAUGACCCUGCAUCGUGACAACCUACUGCUUCUCAUGCAUGGGAAACAGUAGAUCUGCCAAAACACAGUCCCCAGUACAGGCCCAGUGCCUUAGAUUAGACAUGAGUGCAUAGCGUGAAGAUUAGUGAUGGCUAAAAGGAAGGCACUCUCCUUUUCAUGUUAAGAUAAAUCUCUCUGAGGCUGCAGGGCAGGACUAGGCAGGUGUAUCAUCUUCUGGCAAAUUAAUAAUAUUAACUAAUAAUUAAUAAUUAAUACAAUCCUUUCCCAGCCCUGGUGCUUCUUAUGGUUGUCAUUUCUGUGCGUUCGCAUACUGUUUGGAGAUUUCUCCGCUGUCUGGGUAUGAUAAGGGGCAUGGAAGGCAGUCCCAGCCAUGAACUCGCCUGUUAUCCGAUUGUUGUGCCUUGGGAUUUAAAUCUCGUUUUUCAAUGAUACGAUUCGAAACAAAGAGAGAAGAGCGAUGCUGUGAAGGAGUGGUGGGAUAGAACUGCUCAGAGAGCCACUCCAGUCUGUUGCAUAAGACAUAAAUGUGCGGAAAUAGAUGCCUAACUAUUGAAACAGUCAUUUUCGCAAGGAAAACAAGUGUUUCUAUUGCUCUGUUGGGUCCGUUCCCCUCCCAGUACAUUCCACUCUUCCCUUCACCUCAGCUCAUUUGUUCUCUGUGUCUAAAUCAGAGAUAUUUUAAUGGCGUGACAAUUGUAAUAUGCUACUCAAUGUAAUUCAAUAGUUUUAGCCUCACUUUGGCAACAAAUCAUACCUAUCCAGUAGUUAAGGUAAUAGGCCCUUUUUCCUUAGCACUAUUGGUGUUUUGAGGAUUACAGUAACCAAGUGAGAGAUUUUGCUCUCUGGUCAAAAUGGUAUUUUAUACCCAGUAGUUUGGUGCUUGAAACCAAAUAAUUCUCAAUGAUCUGUUACAGGACAGCCCUGUUUUGCAUCAGCUUAGCCCCUCGUCAGGCCGAUCCUGCAAUGUUGCUAUUGCCAUCACUGGAUUGCAUCUGCAAAGGCAUUGCAGGAUUGGGCCCAGAAAGGGCCCCAUCAGAGUCUACUAGAAGAUAGACCGUGUUUUGACUCUGUGCUGGAAGGAGAGAAACCCUCUUUCUAAAAAAAAAAACAUUUUUUUCCCAUGCAACUGCAGAGACCCACACGAAAACCUAAGCCCAAAAUGAUGAUAUUCAAUUCCCAAUGAGCAAGUUAAAAACCUCUGGGUUUCUCUGCCAUCCAUGCAUUAUAGUUCCCUUUCGGCAGGGGCACACACUGAUACUGCUAAAACGUUGUGUCACAAAGCAUCCCCACCUAUUUAUUCUAAUUCCCGUAGUCUUAAAGCGAAGGUGUUGUCAGACAUGGUUAAGAGAAAAUACCAUGUGGUCUGUACUGAGGGAAUAAAAAACUAUGGAGCCAGUGUAUUGAACCUGUGCGUAGGGCUAGGAAGAUAAAUUAGCCAUUAGAUUUCGACGGUCAGAGUAAAUCAAUACUGCGCAGGAAUUGAGCUGAAGAACGCCUGCCCUCUGCCACCUCCAGAAAGUGUUGCCAUUGAUGUUUUCACUCAGAAAAAAA